rnacentral:rRNA from 1 species
GACAGAGGUGCCGAGCGUUAGGCGGAAUCACUGGGCUUAAAGCGUGUGUAGGCGGGCCGUUAAGUAUCUUGUGAAAUCCCAUGGCUCACCCGUGGAACUGCUGGGCAUACUGGCGAUCUUGGGCCAACUAGGGGCAGCCGGAACAAGCGGUGGAGCGGUGAAAUGCGUAGAUAUCGCUUGGAACGCCGAAGGUGAAAACAGGCUGCUGGGGUUGCGCCGACGCUGAGACACGAAAGCCAGGGGAGCAAACGGG